AGGUCACAUGUGUUUUUGUCUGGAUUUCUCCGCCACGGUCUUCUCUUCUUUCUCGCUGCCUCCUCUCUCUCCCCCCACCACCACCGACCCGCGCCCCCAUCUCCUCACCGGAACCGGCUGCCGCCCUAUGCUUCUUCCCGAGAACGGCCUCGCCUCCCCCUGUUCUCCCACUUGCCGGUGUGGAUCUCCCCGAGCGCCGUAACAGCAGGGAGCUUCUCCAAUGCGCCGCCACUAACCUCACAAGCACGCCUCUCCUGCUCGCUGUUCGCUCCGUGCCUCCACGAAGCGAGGCUGCCGACGGGUACCUCCGCGAAACCUACCCCAGGUAUCCCCUGGCCUGGUCUUCUUCCUGCUAGCUCUCCCUAUCCGACUACCUGUGGCCGCCGGCCGUGGCCUGGGUCGCCGCAGCCCCUCACUUGGACGGAGGACCCCGACCACGGAGCUUGCUCCUGGAUGGGAUUGAGCGACGCGAGGAUGGUAGCAGGAUCCGGGGCCGCGCGGGACAUCAGGGAGCAGCUAGCUAGAGCAGCGGGGCAUAUGGGCGAUGAACUGAGAGGGCAGUCCGCGAUCUGGUUUUUGGACAUGGUCCGUCCUCCCCUGCAGGUUCACGCUGUGGUAUGAGACAGGGAGAAGCCCCAGGGGAGCUCACCACGCCUUAUCCUAACGCAGCUACGAACCUCAUCCCGUUCCCCACGACCGCAACUCUCCGUGCUCCGCGCCAGCCUUCUUCCCACCGCCGGCCAGGCCGUUCCCGACGACGGCGGAACCCCGACCUGGCUGGUUGGUUUGUAGUGUGGACUCUGGACGACGGCGGACCCCGACCAGGCUGGUUGGUCUGUAGUGUAGUGAAGGGCCAUGGCAUCAGAGGAAGCCUGCAGCAGUAGCAGCGACAAGGCUGCAGGUGGAGCAAUGGCCGUUGGUGGAAAAGAGUAAUGCGGCAGUGCUCUACCUGCUUGCCAUCUUGCCGAUGCUCGAUGGCGACAACAUGGAUUGGAACGAGCAAGGACAUGGCUUACUUUGAUCUGAACAACAGAUGCACUUUGGAAAUGGUUGGCAUCUGUGUGUAUUAUAUAUAGACUAGGAAAUGUGAGUCAAGGUCUAAGUUUCGCUUACCUCCAUGAAUACCAUUGAGUCGGUGAUUGUAAGUACAGUCAGGCCUCUGACAUUGAAAUGGGUGAAAGUUACAACCUGAAGGAGCAUUUCCUGGCGUCGAAGCAUCUCAAAGUUGUUGAAAUCUAUUGUCGCCAGGAAGAAGAAAUGAUUUGUCAAAUUUUGAAGAUCCUUGGUACCCAUGGAGUAACUCCUGCGCAAAUUAGCAUCAACCAUGAUAAUAGAGAUUCUUCCCCGUAAGUAAAUGAAAUUCACUAUGUUUCAUGUGUCGGUGAAAUCAGAAAGUUAAAAAUUUGAAAAAGUCUGAAGGGUUUCUCCUCUGGAUUUUAAAUAAAUAAAGCAAGCAGGCCAUGUUUAUUUAUUUAUUUUUGAAAGGGGUACGGAGCCACAGCCUCUGCAACAUGCCAUGUUUAUUGCAUUUCCGUACGCUUGGUUGCUGUAGGAGUGGUGUGAAGCCAACACACACUCAUGUGUUAGUUUCUCCCCAUUUUCAUGCACUAAUAAAUGAAUUCAGUAGUGCAACUAUUGUUGCUAAAACUUCAUCCUGGUAACUUAAUUUAAUUACUCCCUCCGAUUCAUAUUAAUUGACUUCAAUAUGGAUGUAUCUAGACACAUUUUAGUUCUAGAUACAUCCAUAUUAGAGUCAAUUAAUAUGAACCGGAGGGAGUACUAUACUCUUACUAUUGCUUACCGAAAUAUCCAUCACUGUUAGUUUAAUUAUUGUUUUUGGUGUUUAAGUUGAAUCUUGAAUAGGAGUAUUAUUCACUGGGAUCUGUAAGUUAACUGUGAUUGUUGAGCCCAUCGUAGUGCAAUUACUACCAUUCGCAUUUGUGAGUAGCUGACAACAAAGUGCGAGUGCUCUUUUCUUUUCAGCAUACAUGUACACUUGUGAAGAGAAUAAAAUGCAUUUUUCUGUUCUGUUGUAAUCUCUCUCGCCAUCCUUAUCCACUGAACUGAGUGACUCCAAUGAAUGUCGAGUUCAAUGAAUGACUCCAAGGAAUGUUGCGAAGGGAAUAAAAAGGUUGUUGAGGCAUGGAAUGAUGGUGUCGUCCAAGGACGACGCUUCUGAGGUUCAACAUGAUGUGUUGUGACAUUUUCAUGGCUUGGUCAUGGAGGCUCUGUCAGCAAGCACGUGUCUGAAGAAUAUUCACAUCAUGACGUGGUCGUAUCA